rnacentral:rRNA from 1 species
UACGUAGGGUGCGAGCGUUGUCCGGAAUUAUUGGGCGUAAAGAGCUCGUAGGCGGUGUGUCACGUCGGCCGUGAAAACCUGCAGCUUAACUGUGGGCGUGCGGUCGAUACGGGCAUCACUGGAGUUCGGCAGGGGAGACUGGAAUUCCUGGUGUAGCGGUGAAAUGCGCAGAUAUCAGGAGGAACACCGGUGGCGAAGGCGGGUCUCUGGGCCGAUACUGACGCUGAGGCGCGAAAGCGUGGGGAGCGAACAGG